UACGUAGGCAGCGAGCGUUGUUCGGAAUUACUGGGCGUAAAGCGUGCGCAGACGGUUGCGUAAGUCAGAUGUGAAAGCCCCGGGCUCAACCUGGGAAUUGCAUUUGAGACUGCGUAGCUAGGGUGCGGAAGAGGGAAGCGGAAUUUCCGGUGUAGCGGUGAAAUGCGUAGAUAUCGGAAGGAACACCAGUGGCGAAAGCGGCUUCCUGGUCCAGCACCGACGUUCAGGCACGAAAGCGUGGGGAGCAAACAGG
rnacentral:rRNA from 1 species